rnacentral:rRNA from 1 species
CCUACGGGAGGCAGCAGUGAGGAAUAUUGGUCAAUGGCCGGAAGGCUGAACCAGCCAAGCCGCGUGAAGGACGAAGGUGCCAAGCAUUGUAAACUUCUUUUGUCAAGGGACAAAGUCAGGCACGAGAGCCUGACCGAGGGUACUUGAAGAAAAAGCAUCGGCUAACUCCGUGCCAGCAGCCGCGGUAAUACGGAGGAUGCGAGCGUUAUCCGGAUUUAUUGGGUUUAAAGGGUGCGUAGGCGGACUGUUAAGUCAGUUGUGAAAGUCUGCGGCUCAACCGUAAGAGUGCGGUUGAACUGGGCAGGCUUGGGUACAGUAGAGGGGGGCGGAAUGCGUGG